rnacentral:rRNA from 1 species
UACAGAGGGGGCAAGCGUUGUUCGGAAUUACUGGGCGUAAAGGGCGCGUAGGCGGCCUUCUAAGUCGAACGUGAAAUCCCCGGGCUCAACCCGGGAACUGCGUCCGAUACUGGAAGGCUUGAAUCCGGGAGAGGGAUGCGGAAUUCCAGGUGUAGCGGUGAAAUGCGUAGAUAUCUGGAGGAACACCGGUGGCGAAGGCGGCAUCCUGGGCCGGCAUUGACGCUGAGGCGCGAAAGCCAGGGGAGCGAACAGG